rnacentral:rRNA from 1 species
UGGGUAACCUGCCUCAAAGAGGGGAAUAGCCUCCCGAAAGGGAGAUUAAUACCGCAUAAUAUGUUUAAGUCGCAUGACUUUAACAUCAAAGGAUUUUCUUUUAGAACUUCCACUUUGAGAUGGACCCGCGGCGCAUUAGCUAGUUGGUGAGGUAACGGCUCACCAAGGCAACGAUGCGUAGCCGACCUGAGAGGGUGAUCGGCCACAUUGGAACUGAGACACGGUCCAGACUCCGUACGGGAGCAG